rnacentral:rRNA from 1 species
GGUGAGUAACACGUGGGUGAUCUGCCCUGCACUUCGGGAUAAGCCUGGGAAACUGGGUCUAAUACCGGAUAGGACGAUGGUUUGGAUGCCAUUGUGGAAAGUUUUUCGGUGUGGGAUGAGCUCGCGGCCUAUCAGCUUGUUGGUGGGGUAAUGGCCUACCAAGGCGUCGACGGGUAGCCGGCCUGAGAGGGUGUACGGCCACAUUGGGACUGAGAUACGGCCCAG